rnacentral:rRNA from 1 species
GACGAACCGUGCGAACGUUGUUCGGAAUCACUGGGCUUAAAGGGCGCGUAGGCGGGUUCCCAAGUCUGUGGUGAAAGCCUCCAGCUUAACUGGAGAAGUGCCGUGGAUACUGGGAGUCUCGAGGAGGGUAGGGGCAUCUGGAACUGCCGGUGGAGCGGUGAAAUGCGUUGAUAUCGGCAGGAACUCCGAUGGCGAAAGCAAGGUGCUGGACCCUUUCUGACGCUGAGUGCGCGAAAGCCAGGGGAGCAAACGGG